rnacentral:rRNA from 1 species
GCCUACGGGGGGCAGCAGUGGGGAAUAUUGGGCAAUGGGCGCAAGCCUGACCCAGCAACGCCGCGUGAAGGAAGAAGGCUUUCGGGUUGUAAACUUCUUUUCUCAGGGACGAAGCAAGUGACGGUACCUGAGGAAUAAGCCACGGCUAACUACGUGCCAGCAGCCGCGGUAAUACGUAGGUGGCAAGCGCUAUCCGGAUUUACUGGGUGUAAAGGGCGUGUAGGCGGGAAAGCAAGUCAGAUGUGAAAACGACGGGCUCAACCGGUGGGCUGCAUUUGAAACUGUUUUUCUUGAGUACUGGAGAG